AUGGAGGUGAAGAAUUUUUCCUCUCAUGGUUCGACGCUUAAAUAACUGAGCGCUCUUAUAUUUUCUCAAUUCGUGGUGAAAAUCCAAGCCAAAAUUCUUAUCAAC